rnacentral:rRNA from 1 species
UACGGAGGGUGCUAGCGUUGUUCGGAAUUACUGGGCGUAAAGGGCGCGUAGGCGGCUGGAUAAGUCAGAUGUGAAAGUCCACGGCUCAACUGUGGAAGUGCAUUUGAAACUGUCCGGCUUGAGUAUCGGAGGGGAAAGUGGAAUUCCCGGUGUAGAGGUGAAAUUCGUAGAGAUCGGGAGGAACACCGGUGGCGAAGGCGACUUUCUGGACGAAUACUGACGCUGAGGCGCGAAAGCGUGGGGAGCAAACAGG